UACGUAGGUGGCAAGCGUUGUCCGGAAUUAUUGGGCGUAAAGCGCGCGCAGGCGGUCCUUUAAGUCUGAUGUGAAAGCCCACGGCUCAACCGUGGAGGGUCAUUGGAAACUGGGGGACUUGAGUGCAGGAGAGAAGAGUGGAAUUCCACGUGUAGCGGUGAAAUGCGUAGAGAUGUGGAGGAACACCAGUGGCGAAGGCGGCUCUCUGGGACGGUACUGACGCUGAGGUGCGAAAGCGUGGGGAGCAAACAGG
rnacentral:rRNA from 1 species